CAUUGAGUUUUCGUAUAUAGUUUUGUCAGCACGGUUAUUCGGUGAGUCCACGUUGUUCUGUGCGUACCGGUGCUCUGUAUAAAGAAACGUUCUGCGACAUAGUUUGUAAUCUAGAGACAUCUAACGCAUCAUAUUAAAUAUACAAUAAAGAAAGUGCUCAGUGUGUAGGUUAUUUGGAUUAUCCCCAUAAAACUCUAAUAGGUUAUGGGCCCAGAGCAUUGUAUGUAAACGUGAAAUAACUAAAAGGAAAGUGAGGUUAAGAAGCCACGUGCUAAAGAGUAUACAGAAAAAAUGUGUCGACAGAGGUAAGGUUCUAGUGGAGCCUGGUGCUUUAGGUGACUAUGUAGAGCAGGGAUACCAUUUUAUCUAGUUCGCAGACUCGCAAACAUGUCUAGCGCAUUACGUGUUGUUGGGAGAUGUUCUGCAAAAGACAAGCAAGCAAAAGCUGUGCAAAGGCACAAUUAACAGCACGCCACCUAUGUAUGUAAACCAGGCGGAGUACUUAUUGACAUAGACACUCCUGAAGGCACGCUGAAAGAGGAGUGGGAUCCCAACUGGGACUUCAGGUGUAAGGAAUUCAUCGAUGGCCUGAUAAAGAGAAAAUUAAGAUGGACUGAAAGUGCUAUAAAACCGAUGGACAAUGUGUACAGUUUAGGAACCAUAACGAGGAGAAGGAAAUCAUUGAUGCCGAAAAAUACCAGGAAUAGUCUGAUAGCAGGGUUCAAUGAGAAAAUCUGGGGAAUGGACAAUCCAAACAGCACAUUCUGCCACACACAGAACACGGACAAGUAGAAGGAAGCGUCUGUCAAGAACAGACUGGAUGUCAACCCUGGACACAUGGAUCAAAGGGCAUUGAGAAAGAUAUAUUGUGCAAUGAGAUUGUUGACCAGCAAAUAUGGGAGAUCUCUCCACCGCAAGUGCAAGAUAUUAACUGAAGCACGGGAGCAUUAGAUGAAGGGCAUACUUUGUCUAAAUAUAUCCAGAGGCACCCUGAUUGGUACCAGCGGAGUCUCGAUAUGUUAUCUAGUUGGCAAUCUGGUAAAUUAUGUGACAGUUAUUUUACCUGUUGACCAAAGAAUGAGCCAAACAAAAAGAUGGGUUAUAUGUAGUUGAAGAGACAAUGCGACAAAGGGCAAUGCUUCAGAAACAUGAAGAUAAGUUAGUCAAGUGGCAUGAAAGACUAGGACACUUGACUUUCAAUGAUGUUCAAAAUCUAAAGAGUAAGCAGAUGGCAAUUGGGAUAAAUGAUAAUUUUGAAAAACAAAAUCCGAGUUGUGAAGUAUGUGACAAGUGCAAGAUACACCAACUCCCAUUCGGUACUUUUCAGCACAGAGCAAGCAAAAAAUUAGAGCUUGUGCAUAGUGACAUUUGUGGUCCAUUUAGUGUACAGUCACUUGGGGGAGUUAAAUACUUUGUCACAUUUAUCGAUGACAAGAGUCGAUACAUAUGUAUAAAAACACUGAGAAACAAAUCGGAUGUCUUCCAAGCAUUUAAAGAAUAUAAAGCUUAUGCGGAAAAUACUACUAGCUGCAGAAUAAAGAAGCUCAGGACUGAUAAUGCGAAGGAGUACCUAUCUCAUGAGUUCAAUGAAUUUCUAAAAGGAAGUGGCAUAACACGUCAAUUAUCAACAGCAUACACACCAUAGCAAAAUGGGAUUGCUGAGCGGACAUAUCGUACUUUGGUGGAAAUGGCACGCUGUAUGCUCCUACAAGGUAUGCUUCCGACAUCACUUUGGGCCAAAGCCAUAAACACAUCAGUAUUCUUGAAGAAUCGAUCUCCAACCAAAGCCAACAAAGACGUCACUCCAUAUGAAGAAUGGACCUAUGAAAAACCUUUUAUUGGUUUUCUCAGAAAAAUAGGAAGCAAGGUCAUCGCAUUAGAGAAAGGUACAAGAAUAAGGAAUAAAUUUGAUCCAAAAGAUGGCGAUAAAAAUGGGGAUAAUCGGUAAUCGGGCACACGUGCAUAAUAGCAAGAUAGACAAAUAGAACUUUAAACAUUAGAAGAUAAAAACAAUUAAGUUGGCGUGAAUAAAGAGGUGAUAAUAAGGGGCUUCAAUUGUCGUUUCUUUGUUCACAGAGAAACACCCGUUGUUCUAUUAUUACCACCGACGGCAGAUAGCAAGAGAUAAUUAUAAACGACAAUCGUAGUCAAAAAUGAAACUGCAAUUUGAUUUCAAAGUAAUAGUGUCUCCAAAAGACGAGAAAUCCAACGUGAUAACCAUAACCUCACUAAUGACAGAAAGUGCACUAAGGUAAAGGCUAAACUGAAGUAUAGGCAUGAGACUGCAAGUGUAUGGUUCAUACUAACAGAUAUAGAAUUUAGGGAAUAUCUCUUAGAUGAAAUAAAGGAGAAGAAAAACAGCAGUGAGGAAGAAAAGUCAAACUUACCCAAGAUAUUAGAGAAGUUACUUGAGUCAUCAAAUGAGAAGGAAGAGGAGAAGAACUUAAAACAUGUUGCAGAUAAAUUCAUAAUAGAAAAACUCAGUAGCAAAGACUCAAAUGCUAAACAGUGGAUGGAAAUAUUUGAAAAGGAAUGUACAAGAUUUAAAAUAACAAAAUACAACAUGAAGAUUGAAAUAUUGAGACUAUUUUUGGAAAAAUCAUGCUCCGAUUGGCACCGUGCAACAACCAUUAAACUAUCAAUAAACAAUAAUUGGGGAGACUGGAAGGAUAGAUUUUUAAAAUCAUUCGCAGAUAAGGGAUGGAGUACAUGGAAAUAUGCUCUAGCAUUCAGAUACAAAGAAGGUUCACUGAUUAAUUAUGCUACAAAAAAAGAAAGAUUAAUAUUAGAUGUAAAUAAAGACAUAGAUUAAAGAACACCAUAUAACCAUAGGAUUACCAGAAUCCAUAAUGAAUAAAAUAAACAAGGAAGAAGUGAAAGAUUCAACCACGCUCUUCAAUGAGAUUAGAAACUAUGAAAGCAUGGUAGAAAGAAAGUACAACACAAAAACAAAGGAUGGCAAACAAGAUUGGAGAAAGAAAUAUGAAGAAAAGAAACCAUGCAAGACAUGUGAGAGCUUGGCACCUCUUUUUCGCCUGGCACUAAAAGGGUUAAAUCGGCUAUUUACCCACUCUACAAACAAAAGACAUUAAGUUUUCGUAUAUCGUUUUGUCGGCACGGCUAUUCGGUGAGUCCACGUUGUUCUGUGCGUACCGGUGCUCUGUAUAAAGAAACGUUCUGCGACAGUUUGUAAUCUAAAGACAUCUAACGCAUCAUAUUAAAUAUACAAUAAAGAAAGUGCUCAGUGUGUAGGUUAUUUGGUUUAUCCCCAUAAAACUCCAAUAGGUUAUGGGCCCAGAGCAUUGUAUGUAAACGUGAAAUAACUAAAAGGAAAGUGAGGUUAAGAAGCCACGUGCUAAAGAGUAUACAGAAAAAAUGUGUCGACAGAGGUAAGGUCUUGGUUAGGUGAUUUGGUUUAUCCCCAUAAAACCCCAAUACACUCAAAUUUGCAUAAUUUGUAAAAAAUUUUUCUGUGGAAAAUGUAUGAAG